GGGAAUCGAUACAUUCGUCCAGAGUCGUUCCUGCUAGAAGCUCCUUCGGUAUCCUCAAAAUGAAGUCCUUUGUGUGCGUUGUUAUGUGCCUCGUGGUGGCUGCAUCCGCCAGCACCCAAAUGCAGGCAGCUAUCAAUGAUCUGGCGGCGCACACAGAAUGAAUCUGGUUAGAAUGAAUCCUGACAUACCCGUCUAUCGUGAUUUCUGAUGCUGCCUUUCUGAGAAUCGGCCCUAUUUUUUCAUUAACAAAUUCACAAUAUCUACCUACAUUGCAGUUCUAAGUUGGUUUUGGACAAGUGCGGUUGCAUUUUUUUUCCAUUCCGUUGCGUUUUUUCUAUUGAGCAAAAUCUCUUUCAUUUUGGUAGUCCGGUGAAGUUAGUACAUCCCGGUAUCUAAAUUCGAAAAUUCGCAGUAAAUUUAUAAAUGGCUUUAAUUUUAUAAAUCUCUUCACCGUA